ACUUGGACUGUAUGGUGCAUACGCGUAAUUGAAACCAAUGGCGGUCAUAUUGGUUUGACCACCACAAAUUUACCCGGUGGUAUUUCUGUCUUGCUGGCAUGUUAUACUAUUUCUUUUUAUUGGUCGGAAAGAACAAACCUGGUUAUCUGAAUGGCCUGUCUUUUCGUUUUUAAUUGACCAGUGAAUAACUAAUUUGGUCACAUCAAGAAGCGCCACAUGACAAUUCUCAUUAUCUAGUGUUUAAAACGUUCUAAAACUUUUUAUGUUGCACAGGAAAACAUAUAGUUGCCUACUAGUAAAACCGUAAUUUAAUCAGCUAACGAUUCCCAUUGC